rnacentral:rRNA from 1 species
GAUGAACGCUGGCGGCGUGCCUAAUACAUGCAAGUCGAGCGGUAAGGUUCUGCACCCACUAUUUGACCAGAUAAGUUCCCCUCAAAAGGAAUACUGUCUGCAGCGGUAUUCUCUGGCUAGAGAAUACGGUCGAAUGAUGAGUGUAGAAUACACGAGCGGCGGACGGCUGAGUAACGCGUAGGAACGUACCCCAUAGUGAGGGAUAAGCACCGGAAACGGUGUCUAAUACCGCAUAAUCUCUUCGGAGCAAAGCCUAGUGCGCUUUGGGAGCGGCCUGCGUAUGAUUAGUUAGUUGGUGAGGUAAUGGCUCACCAAGACGACGAUCAUUAGCUGGUCUGAGAGGAUGAUCAGCCAGACUGGGACUGAGACACGGCCCAGACUCCGUACGGGAGGCAGCAGUAGGGAAUUUUCCGCAAUGGGCGAAAGCCUGACGGAGCAACGCCGCGUGC